rnacentral:ribozyme from 13 species
AAAACGAUUCCAAAGUGGACUGAACAUACGGAAUAAAAGUUGUUCCUCUCAAUUCAUCAUCCAUUCUACUCUUCUCUUUCCUCUUUUUUUCCUCUUUUCUCUUUCUCUUUCUCUCU